rnacentral:rRNA from 1 species
CCUACGGGAGGCAGCAGUAGGGAAUAUUGCUCAAUGGGGGAAACCCUGAAGCAGCAACGCCGCGUGGAGGAUGAAGGUUUUCUGAUUUUAAACUCCUUUUUUUAGAGGAAUUAAUGACUGUAUCUAACGACUACUCCCCGUCUAACUCCGUUCCAGCAGCCGCGGUAAUACGGAGGGUGCAAGCGUUACUCGGAAUCACUGGGCGUAAAGAGCGCGUAGGCGGGAUAGCAAGUCAGAUGUGAAAUCCUAUGGCUUAACCAUAGAACUGCAGUUGAAACUGUUAUUCUAGAGUAUGGGAGAGGUAGGUGGAAUGCUUGGUGUAGGGGUAAAAUCCGUAGAGAUCACGAGGAAUACUCAUUGCGAAGGCGACCUGCUAGAACAUAACUGACGCUGAUGCGCGAAAGCGUGGGGAGCAAACAGGAUUAGAUACCCGAGUAGUC